rnacentral:rRNA from 1 species
CCCUUAGAUGUCCUGGACCGCACGCGCGCUACACUGACAUGUUCAACAAGUUUCUCCUAGUUCGACAGGACUGGGAAAUCUUUGAACGCAUGUCGUGAUAGGGAUAGAUCAUUGCAAUUAUUGAUCUUGAACGAGGAAUUCCUAGUAAACGCGAGUCAUCAGCUCGCAUUGAUUACGUCCCUGCCCUUUGUACACACCGCCCGUCGCACCUACCGAUUGAAUGUUUCGGUGAAGAUUCCGGAUAGGACUGAUUUGAUUUAUUUCAUUUCUGACCUAAAAGCUAUCUAAACCUCAACAUUUAGAGGAAGGUGAAGUCGUAACA